rnacentral:rRNA from 1 species
GACGAACGCUGGCGGCGUGCCUAAUACAUGCAAGUAGAACGCUGAAGGAGGAGCUUGCUUCUCCGGAUGAGUUGCGAACGGGUGAGUAACGCGUAGGUAACCUGCCUGGUAGCGGGGGAUAACUAUUGGAAACGAUAGCUAAUACCGCAUAAGAGUAGAUGUCGCAUGACAUUUGCUUAAAAGGUGCAACUGCACCACUACCAGAUGGACCUGCGUUGUAUUAGCUAGUUGGUGAGGUAACGGCUCACCAAGGCAACGAUACAUAGCCGACCUGAGAGGGUGAUCGGCCACACUGGGACUGAGACACGGCCCAGACUCCUUCGGGAGGCAGCAGUAGGGAAUCUUCGGCAAUGGACGGAAGGCUGACCGAGCAACGCCGCGGGAGUGAAGAAGGUUUUCGGAUCGGAAAGCUCUGUUGUAAGAGAAGAACGAGUGUGAGAGUGGAAAGUUCACACUGUGACGGUAUCUUACCAGAAAGGGACGGCUAACUACGUG